CCUACGGGAGGCAGCAGUGGGGAAUAUUGGACAAUGGGCGAAAGCCUGAUCCAGCAAUGCCGCGUGAGUGAUGAAGGCCUUAGGGUUGUAAAGCUCUUUUACCAGGGAUGAUAAUGACAGUACCUGGAGAAUAAGCUCCGGCUAACUCCGUGCCAGCAGCCGCGGUAAUACGGAGGGAGCUAGCGUUGUUCGGAAUUACUGGGCGUAAAGCGUGCGUAGGCGGUGAUUCAAGUCAGAGGUGAAAGCCUGGAGCUCAACUCCAGAACGGCCUUUGAAACUAGAUCGCUAGAAUUAUGGAGAGGUAAGUGGAAUUCCGAGUGUAGAGGUGAAAUUCGUAGAUAUUCGGAAGAACACCAGUGGCGAAGGCGACUUACUGGACAUAUAUUGACGCUGAGGUACGAAAGCGUGGGGAGCAAACAGGAUUAGAUACCCUGGUAGUCCACGCCGUAAACGAUGAUAACUAGCUGUUCGGGCUCUCAGAGCUUGAGUGGCGCAGCUAACGCAUUAAGUUAUCCGCCUGGGGAGUACGGUCGCAAGAUUAAAACUUAAAGGAAAUUGACGG
rnacentral:rRNA from 1 species